ACGGCUGGUCUCGGACGAGAUUAAGCUAAUUGAAAGUAGAUUCCGAACAGCUGAGUGGUGCAAGCAGAAUGUAACAGGUGCUAUUCGCCUGUUUCAUCGUAAUGCUGACGUUGAACGCUACAAUUCCGAAGCACUAAGCGAUCGAGAUGCAGUGGACUGUGUGGCUGACGAGGUAUACUCUGGAUACAGGAACGCUUCGCAGUUGGCCAGCGCACGCACUAAAAUAAUAAGAUGAGUGUUGUGGAGACUGGGGGUUUGGGAUACAUAUUGCGACUUGCCGUUGGAACGCCAUACAUGAUCACUGUAAAUGUUGAUGUUGAGGAUGGUAUCGUAAAUGGCGCUAUCGGUGAACUACAAUAUGUGGAGCACACUGAAGACGAUCUUCAGCAGCCAAUCACCAAGCUUUGAAUCAAAUUUGAAAAUGAUUCUAUAGGGAAGACAUUGAGAGUCAAAUCGAGGCCUCAUGUGUGUUCUAAGCCUGGCGUACUUCAAUCUAACUGGACUCCAAUCAGCAAGCGAUCGGCAAACAUUUCGUUAGGCGCCAGCAUUAAAUGCAAGCGAAUUCAAUUCCCCGUGGUGAGCGCAAAUGCUCUUACUGUACAUAAAUCUCAAGGUGGCACGUUUUCGGAAAUUGUGUACGAAUACGACAAGGGGCAAGAACAGUAGCUAGUGUAUGUUGGGUUGUCCAGAGUAACAGCCAUCGAAGGGCUUUAUUUGACCAAUGCCAAAGACAUGUUUAAAUUCUUCCACGCAAAAGGAACCGCUUCACCAAGAGCUCAGGAAUUACGAACAGAACUGCAACGAUUGUCCAACCACCAGUUGCGUACCAUCGGGAAAGAGAUUAUCGACGCGAUCCAGACUCAUAACGUAGCUUGCAAAGUGAUGAGUGUUAAUGUGCAGAGUCUCAAUGCACACUUAUUAAAUGUGACCUCUGACCAGGUACUGAUCCGUGCAGAUUUGCUAGCUCUCAGUGAAACAUGGCUUGAAGAUGACGCAUUCGUUGAAAUUGCUGGAUUCAACUUGAUUACUCAAUCCAAACAUGCUGCUGUCAGAGCCGGUGGCGUGGCGAUUUACCAGCGCAUGGAACUGUUGACUGCUACUGCACACACCAUCGAAAAACUUAGUGAACACCACGACGAGCAACUAUUGAUUGCAGACCACUAUGGUGAUAUAUGUGUAGCUGAGAUCACAAUUAGUAACACCAGAGUAUUACUUUUCUGUGUCACCAGAUACCACGACCAAACAGAAGAAAUUUUUCCUGAUACGCAACCUUAUGAUGUACUCUCGAACAGAUAUGCCCAUAGCUGUCACUGGGGACUUCAAUAUCGACAUCUCCAAACAGGAGAAUAUUGCGUUUGUUGACUUCAUGCAGAAGUAUCUUCAUUUGAAUUUAGUUUCUGACCGUACUCAAGCAACAACAUUAGGAGGCUCAUGUUUAGAUUUGACGUUUACAAGGAACCUCCGUUCCGAAUGUAUGAGGUACUGCUCGUAUUUUUCAUACCACAGGCCUAUUCUAUCUUUGCUUAUAGUAUGAAUAAAUAUGUGGCAAGCAUAAUUAUUUUCAAAGAAACAUAAAAUAAAUUACCCAUUGUCUCUUAAAAAUGGUUAUUUACACAGGAUUUCAAAAAUUUUUCAAGCGUUUCAACCCGAUUAAGCCAAAGGCAAAGAACAUGAAAACACAUCGUCAGAACCCGACUUAUACAGAACUCAAACACCGUUAACCGUCUUAACCCGAUGGAGCUAUUGGAGGCAAAGAAUAUGGCUACUUAUCGUAAUAUUGUGAUUUGCACAGAACUUAGAAACAUCUUUAAGCUUGCUAACCUAACAAUGGAGCGAAACAUCAGUCGGUAUCAGAAAUGUAUAUCGGUGUCUAACAAAGAUUUAAAUA